rnacentral:rRNA from 1 species
UACAGAGGGGGCAAGCGUUGUUCGGAAUUACUGGGCGUAAAGGGCGCGUAGGCGGCCUUCUAAGUCGAACGUGAAAUCCCCGGGCUCAACCCGGGAACUGCGUCCGAGACUGGAAGGCUCGAAUCCGGGAGAGGGAUGUGGAAUUCCAGGUGUAGCGGUGAAAUGCGUAGAUAUCUGGAUGAACAUCGGUGGCGAAGGCGGCAUCCUGGACCGGUAUUGACGCUGAGGCGCGAAAGCCAGGGGAGCAAACGGG